GUUUUUAUAGUGUAAUCAAACACGCUACAUUUUCGUUGUAGAGCUGAAAAACUUUUUCUAAAAACU
rnacentral:tRNA from 1 species